rnacentral:rRNA from 1 species
CAGUCGCCACGGUAAUACGAAGGGUGCAAGCGUUAAUCGGAAUUACUGGGCGUAAAGCGUGCGUAGGCGGUGAGUUAAGUCUGCUGUGAAAUCCCCGGGCUCAACCUGGGAAUGGCAGUGGAUACUGGCUCGCUAGAGUGUGUCAGAGGAUGGUGGAAUUCCCGGUAUAGCGGUGAAAUGCGUAGAGAUCGGGAGGAACAUCAGUGGCGAAGGCGGCCAUCUGGGACAACACUGACGCUGAGGCACGAAAGCGUGGGGAGCAAACAGGAUUAGAUACCCCAGUAGUCCCUGUCUCUUAUAC